GACGAACGCUGGCGGCGUGCUUAACACAUGCAAGUCGAACGGAAAGGCCCUGCUUUUGUGGGGUGCUCGAGUGGCGAACGGGUGAGUAACACGUGAGUAACCUGCCCUUGACUUUGGGAUAACUUCAGGAAACUGGGGCUAAUACCGGAUAGGAGCUCCUGCUGCAUGGUGGGGGUGGGAAAUUUUCGGCGGUUGGGGAUGGACUCGCGGCUUAUCAGCUUGUUGGUGGGGUAGUGGCUUACCAAGGCUUUGACGGGUAGCCGGCCUGAGAGGGUGACCGGCCACAUUGGGACUGAGAUACGGCCCAGACGCCUACGGGAGGCAGCAGUGGGGAAUAUUGCACAAUGGGCGGAAGCCUGAUGCAGCAACGCCGCGUGCGGGAUGACGGCCUUCGGGUUGUAAACCGCUUUCGCCUGUGACGAAGCGUGAGUGACGGUAAUGGGUAAAGAAGCACCGGCUAACUACGUG
rnacentral:rRNA from 1 species